CUGCAGUGCUGCUCCGCUGCUCGCCUCAAUCAUUCAGCGCCUGCCGCCUCCGCCUAGCAAGGGAAGACUCAGCUUAUCAAUCAUUUUCUAAUCAACAAGAGUUGGUAUAUUGUUAAUUUGCCUGGAUAUGGGUGAGUCUCUGUAAUUUUGGUUUUAAUUUGGGCAAUUUCUGUAAUUCUUGAGUCUAUUUCAUGCUGGGAAUAUUGUAUACUUGUAUUGUGAAUCAAUUGUUAUUCGUGUUUAUUCCUGAUCAUAUGCUUGAAUCAUAUUGAAGUGCCAAAAAAGGAUUGCUUUUACGCCUUGAGGCAUUGCUUCAAAAUUAUUGA